rnacentral:rRNA from 1 species
UUCCGUAGGUGAACCUGCGGAUGGAUCAUUAAGAGGUUAGCAAACAUCCAGUUUGACAAACCACUGUGGUACGAUGCAUGUUGUUUUGGCGGCGUGGUGUGCGUGCAAACGCGCAUGCGCCGCCAGCAUACAAACCCAAUCAACCAAUUUAUACUACUCAGCUGUUCUGAUUACACUAUUUCGAUAGCAUAAUCCUAUACAACUGCUAGCAACGGAUCACUCGGCUCUCGCGUCGAUGAAGAACGUAGCAAAGUGCGAAAAUUAAUGCAACACGCAACACGUGAGUCAUCGAGAUCUUUGAACGCAUAUUGCACCCGACAGGCUCGCUUGUCGGGUCUGCCUGUUUGAGUAUCAGUUUAACCCCAACAGCCGGCGGCGCUUGUGUAAAAGCAGGCGCCGGCAGCUUGUUGGUGCUCGCGGCGCGCAUCCGUGCGUGCGGCGGAUCUGGGGCUUUGGGGUUUCGCGCCCCAUGUCCUGAAAUGCAUUGGCCGACCGGCGCAUCAACUUUAGUGUUGUGCUUGGACCGAACCGAUUAGCAAUGUUAAUCAUCUGCAAAGGUGUCUUUGUUAACGCGGCGCGGUUAUUCCAAACAAGUGCAGCCUGAUGUCCACGCGUGCCACCCUGCACGCUGGCUGCCCUGUGGCGGCGAGCGUACACCUUCAAACCUUGAUCUCAAAUCAGGCAGGAUGACCCGCUGAAUUUAAGCAUA